GCAUAUCCAAAUAAGCGGAGGAAAAGAAACUAACAAGGAUUCCCCUAGUAACGGCGAGUGAAGCGGGAAGAGCUCAAAUUUGAAAUCUGGUAGCCUUCGGUUGCCCGAGUUGUAAUCUAGAGAAAUGUUUUCCGUGCCGGCCCAUGUACAAGUCCCUUGGAACAGGGCGUCAUAGAGGGUGAGAAUCCCGUCCUUGACAUGGACCCCCGGUGCUUUGUGAUACAUUUUCAACGAGUCGAGUUGUUUGGGAAUGCAGCUCAAAAUGGGUGGUGAAUUCCAUCUAAAGCUAAAUAUUGGCGAGAGACCGAUAGCGAACAAGUACCGUGAGGGAAAGAUGAAAAGCACUUUGGAAAGAGAGUUAAACAGUACGUGAAAUUGUUGAAAGGGAAACGAUUGAAGUCAGUCAUGCUCUUUGGUAUUUAUAUCAUUGAGUGGGGUCAACAUCAGUUUUGAUCGAUGGAUAAAGGCACUAGGAAGGUAGCACUCUCGGGUGAACUUAUAGCCUAGCGUCAUAUACAUUGAUUGGGACUGAGGAACGCAGCAUGCCUUUAUGGCCGGGAUUCGUCCACGUACAUGCUUAGGAUGUUGACAUAAUGGCUUUAAACGACCCGUCUUGAACCACGGACCA
rnacentral:rRNA from 1 species